rnacentral:rRNA from 1 species
UACGUAGGUGGCAAGCGUUGUCCGGAAUUAUUGGGCGUAAAGCGCGCGCAGGCGGCCUCUUAAGUCUGAUGUGAAAUCUUGCGGCUCAACCGCAAGCGGCCAUUGGAAACUGGGAGGCUUGAGUACAGAAGAGGAGAGUGGAAUUCCACGUGUAGCGGUGAAAUGCGUAGAUAUGUGGAGGAACACCAGUGGCGAAGGCGACUCUCUGGUCUGUAACUGACGCUGAGGCGCGAAAGCGUGGGGAGCAAACAGG